rnacentral:rRNA from 1 species
AGAGUUUGAUCCUGGCUCAGAUUGAACGCUGGCGGCAUGCCUUACACAUGCAAGUCGAACGGCAGCGCGGGGCAACCUGGCGGCGAGUGGCGAACGGGUGAGUAAUAUAUCGGAACGUACCCUGGAGUGGGGGAUAACGUAGCGAAAGUUACGCUAAUACCGCAUACGAUCUAAGGAUGAAAGUGGGGGAUUCGCAAGAACCUCAUGCUCCUGGAGCGGCCGAUAUCUGAUUAGCUAGUUGGUGGGGUAAAGGCCUACCAAGGCAUCGAUCAGUAGCUGGUCUGAGAGGACGACCAGCCACACUGGGACUGAGACACGGCCCAGACUCCUACGGGAGGCAGCAGUGGGGAAUUUUGGACAAUGGGGGCAACCCUGAUCCAGCAAUGCCGCGUGAGUGAAGAAGGCCUUCGGGUUGUAAAGCUCUUUUGUCAGGGAAGAAACGGUGUUUCCUAAUACGGAAUGCUAAUGACGGUACCUGAAGAAUAAGCACCGGCUAACUACGUGCCAGCAGCCGCGGUAAUACGUAGGGUGCAAGCGUUAAUCGGAAUUACUGGGCGUAAAGCGUGCGCAGGCGGUUUUGUAAGUCUGUCGUGAAAUCCCCGGGCUCAACCUGGGAAUUGCGAUGGAGACUGCAAGGCUAGAAUCUGGCAGAGGGGGGUAGAAUUCCACGUAGCAGUGAAAUGCGUAGAGAUGUGGAGGAACACCGAUGGCGAAGGCAGCCCCCUGGGUCAAGAUUGACGCUCAUGCACGAAAGCGUGGGGAGCAAACAGGAUUAGAUACCCUAGUAGUCC